GACGAACGCUGGCGGCGUGCUUAACACAUGCAAGUCGAACGGAAAGGCCCUGCUUGCAGGGUACUCGAGUGGCGAACGGGUGAGUAACACGUGGGUGAUCUGCCCUGCACUUCGGGAUAAGCCUGGGAAACUGGGUCUAAUACCGGAUAGGAGCCAUUUUUAGUGUGAUGGUUGGAAAGUUUUUUCGGUGUAGGAUGAGCUCGCGGCCUAUCAGCUUGUUGGUGGGGUAAUGGCCUACCAAGGCGGCGACGGGUAGCCGGCCUGAGAGGGUGGACGGCCACACUGGGACUGAGAGACGGCACAGACGCCGACGGGAGGCAGAAGUGGGGAAGAUUGAACAAUGGGCGCAAGCCUGAUGCAGCGACGCCGCGUGGGGGAUGACGGCCUUCGGGUUGUAGACUCCGUUCGCUAGGGACGAAGCUUUUUGUGACGGUACCUAGAUAAGAAGCACCGGCUAACUACGUG
rnacentral:rRNA from 1 species